ensembl:lincRNA
UGGAGAUGCCUCAUUAAACACACCAAUUCCCCCUUCUCUUAUCAGAUCAAAUGCCAGCUGGCCCUCCUUGGUGCUGGGUCCCCUUCUGGGUGGAGCCACUGAGAUCUGAGCCCAGUGGACCCUCCGCGUCCUGCACACUUGAGUUUCCCGCCAAGAGGCAGAAGCUGACGCCACCAUGUACCAUAGGGAGAGCCACAAGCAAGUUAUUCCCAGUGGGAAGGUGGAGAAGAAAGGACAGCCAUUCACAGCCCAUUACUUCGAAGUUCCGCUGCCAAGCAGCAGGAGGAAAGAGACUCUGGAACAAAGCUGGAGAGACAAGGCAGCAAGUGGGACAGUGCUCUGCGACGGCAACUCGGCAGUGCUAUCCACAUGUUCAGUGCUCAGAGCCUUUGCUGAGCAGCCCCGCUUCUGGGCUGUGCAGAAACCGCAGAAGAACAGCAUACAACGCACACAGCCACUGCAGCCUGCUCGUGAUGGGCGAAACCAAAGCAGCCCCCGUGUUCACCAUAAGCAAACACUGAGGUCCUAGCGCUUGUAGAAACCAAAGUGCUGCUAGAAAGACGGGGUGGACUUGGGCACUGACAGUGACAGACUCACUCACUGCUAUGGAAAAGAGCACGCUGCAGAAUACAACUCACUACCUGCUUGGGGGUAUUUACCUGCUGCAAAACUGGCAAGCAGUGCCCAUUAGGGGCUCCACAAAAAACGAGUGAAUGGUAGAGAGUAUUGGGAAUUCUACACACCACUCCACACACUGCCCUGCGGCCCAGGGACGCCUGCAGGAUGUAAGGAGAAGAGCCUGCCCUGCCUGCGUAAGGACCCCACCCAGAGCCUGAGUCCAGGCCGGAGAAAGCACCAGCGAACACAGAUGAGGGGCUCGCUACACAAAACUGGCUACUGUCUUCAAAGGAGUCCAGGGAACGAAGUCAAGGCCAGAGAGGAACUUUUCUAGACACAAGGAGACUAAAGAGACUGGACUGGACAUCAUUACAACACAGGACAUUACUGGGACAAUUGGCUAAACAAAAAACUGGCCUUGCCAGGCAUGGUGGCACACACCUAUAAUCCCAGCACUCAGGAGGCUGAGGCAGGAGGAUCACUGCAAGUUCAAGACCAGCCUGGGCUACAAAGUGAGCUCUAGGCCAGCCUGAACUGCAGUGAGACCCUGUCUCAAAACGACCGAAAAAAAAAACUGGCCUGUAUUCGAUUUUAUGGUGAUAGUGUGUAUGUAAGAUUGAACCUAGGGCCAUCUCACUGAGCCCAUCCCCAGCCCUUUUCUGUUUUUUGAGACAGGGUCUCACUAAGUUGCCCAAGCUAGGUUCCAACUCGCCAUCUGUGGUGGAUUAACAACUGGUGGUCAACUUGUAACCCCCAGCUGAACUGAGUAAGCGUGGUGCUGGGAGUGGGAGGCCCACCUGGGGACUGUUGCCAGCAGCGUAAGAGGCAGAACGGAGAAGAAGGAGGAAGGCUGUCGGGAGCUGGUAGAGGCUGUAAGGAGCUCUUGGUUCUUUUGGAGGAGCUCGUCAUGCUGGCUUUCCUGAUGAACUUGGCUGUUUUCAUCCUCUGAGGAGCUCGGGACCUUGUUGGCACUGAGAAUAGCUUCAGUUCACUUUGGGGGAGCUCUGGUUCUCACUCCGACAUCGCUUCCUGGCGCCGGAAGGGAAGAUGAUGCACAGCUCAGUCUCCUGGA